GAAAUACUCCCUCCGUUCCAAAUUACUUGUCGCAGAAAUGGAUGUAUAUAAAACUAUAUACAUCCAUUUUUGCGACGAGUAAUUUGGAACGGAGGGAGUAACUU
rfam:Triticum aestivum genome assembly, contig: Triticum_aestivum_CS42_TGACv1_scaffold_002281_1AL